rnacentral:rRNA from 1 species
UCUACGGGAGGCAGCAGUGGGGAAUAUUGGGCAAUGGGCGCAAGCCUGAUCCAGCAACGCCGCGUGAAGGAAGAAGGCUUUCGGGUUGUAAACUUCUUUUCUCAGGGACGAAGAAAGUGACGGUACCUGAGGAAUAAGCCACGGCUAACUACGUGCCAGCAGCCGCGGUAAUACGUAGGUGGCAAGCGUUAUCCGGAUUUAUUGGGUGUAAAGGGUGUGUAGGCGGGAGCGCAAGUCAGAUGUGAAAACUCAGGGCUCAACCCUGAACCUGCAUUUGAAACUGUGUUUCUUGAGUACUGGAGAGGCAGACGGAAUUCCUAGUGUAGCGGUGAAAUGCGUAGAUAUUAGGAGGAACACCAGUGGCGAAGGCGGUCUGCUGGACAGCAACUGACGCUGAGGCGCGAAAGCGUGGGGAGCAAACAGGAUUAGAUACCCCUGUAGUC